AUUCCAUACUAACACAACCACAACUGUAUUGUUGGUUGGGCACCUGUUACACUGCUCGGAUAAUCAGGAACGGUGCUGAGAAGGCCAAUAUAGAGGCCCAAACAGGAGGGUGGGGGCAACCCCGAUUCUGAGCGCAUGUAUUUGUGAAGCAAUGUUAAUUGGAUUCUGUUUCAGGAUACAUCAAUUUCAGCAGCAGAGGAUUAUGAUUAUCUUCUAGCCAGAUGAGUAGAUUAGAUGUGCCAAAAUUUAGGGGAUUGAGUACUCUGUUAGAUAGCAGCCUUUAUCUUUACAAUUUAGAUAUGUAAUGAGCUGGAGAGUGCAGACUUUGUUAAUAAACUGAAGAUUCAUGACUUCUCAAUCCUACCUGUGAGGGGUUGGUCAGGGUGAAAAAGGCAUGUAAGCUUCUGUCAGUUCAAGCCAUAUCUGGCAUAGUGCUUGUCAUGAGUUUGUUUUAUCUUCACAAUUUAGAUAUGUAAUGAGCUGGAGAGUGAAGACUUUGUUAAUAAACUGAAGAUUCUUGACUUCUCAGUCCUACCUGCUUGAGGGGUUGGUCAGGGUGAAAAAAGCAUGUAAGCUUCUGUCAAUUCAAGGCAUAUCUGGCAUAAUGCUUGUCAUGAGUUUGUUUUCUAGAUGUGUGAAACAAGCAAUACAUUCAAGAUUGAUUAGUUGAAAUGGUACUCUGUAAUAAAUUGAUGGUAGGGGAAACAAUGCAAUCUUGC